AGUUCCCAUACACCUAUGUAUAUUUUUAUGUUUGUAGGGAACUAACCUUCAGCUCUGUUCGUGAAAUGCCAUAGAAAGGCCAUGAUGUGCUCAGAGUGAGGGGGGAAAAUCAAUGUUCCUGACAUACCUAUGUUCAUAGCUGUGAAGCAGUGCUGUACAGAGCCAAGGCCAUUCUCAAUGAAGAACCCAAGGAACUGGGAGAGAACAGAAUUAGGAGAGGGGACUUAAACUGGCCGAAGGGGAUAUUCCAUACAAUAUGACAUCAUGCAGAAGUUCUGAAGGGGGUGGAAGGGCAUCUCAGUCUCUUCUGGAGCUCAGGGUACAGCUGGGCAUCAGCUGGAGAAUGGGGGAGCAAGCAAAUGACUAUGUGGUACUGAGCCACCUGCCAGGUUAUUAAAGGCCAAGAGGGCUCAUGACCGUGCUCUCUUAUCACUGGUGACAAUAAUGCAUUAAUCACCCCUGAUUGUUCCUAUGGCCCUGUUACAAGUGAGGGAAGCAGACACAAAGGCUGGGUGAAGGCAAACGAUCAUGCACUCUCCAACUGCUCCAGGGGAAUCCAGCUAGGAGGGUAUCCAGCAGCACUGGACGUGUGUGUCACUGUGACACUUAAACAUUGGGACUGAUGCUACUGCUUUCUAUUGGGGACAUUUGGAGCAAGAAACAAGGAGGAGAAAGAAUCAACAUCAGAAACUGAGCUUGCUUACUAAAAGUAAAAAAAUAAGAGCAACAUCUGAAAA